CCUACGGGUGGCAGCAGUGAGGAAUAUUGGUCAAUGGGCGCGAGCCUGAACCAGCCAAGUAGCGUGAAGGAUGACUGCCCUAUGGUUUGUAACCUUCUUUUAUAAGGGAAUAAAGUGAGGCACGUGUGCCUUUUUGUAUGUACUUUAUGAAUAAGGAUCGGCUAACUCCGUGCCAGCAGCCGCGGUAAUACGGAGGAUGCGAGCGUUAUCCGGAUUUAUUGGGUUUAAAGGGAGGGUAGGUGGGUUGUUAAGUCAGUUGUGAAAGUUUGCGGCUCAACCGUAAAAUUGCAAUUGAUACUGGCAGGCUUGAGUACAGUUGAGGUAGGCGGAAUGCGUGGUGUAGCGGUGAAAUGCUUAGAUAUCACGAAGAACUCCGAUUGCGAAGGCAGCUUACUAAACUGCCACUGACAUUGAGGCUCGAAAGUGUGGGUAUCAAACAGGAUUAGAUACCCUUGUAGUC
rnacentral:rRNA from 1 species